rnacentral:rRNA from 1 species
AGGACGAACGCUGGCGGCGUGCUUAACACAUGCAAGUCGAGCGGUAAGGCCCUUUCGGGGGUACACGAGCGGCGAACGGGUGAGUAACACGUGAGCAAUCUGCCCUUCACUUCGGGAUAAGCCUCGGAAACGGGGUCUAAUACCGGAUAUGACCGCGCUACGCAUGUGGUGUGGUGGAAAGUUCUGGCGGUGGAGGAUGAGCUCGCGGCCUAUCAGCUUGUUGGUGGGGUAAUGGCCUACCAAGGCUUCGACGGGUAGCCGGCCUGAGAGGGUGACCGGCCAACGACCUGGGACUGAGACACGGCCCAGACUCCUACGGGAGGCAGCAGUGGGGAAUAUUGGACAAUGGGCAAAGCCUGAUCCAGCAACGCGCGUGAGGAUGACGGCCUUCGGGUUGUAAACCUCUUCAGCGCCGACGAAGCGAGAGUGACGGUAGCGCAGAAGAAGCACCGGCCAACUACGUGCCAGCAGCCGC